rnacentral:rRNA from 1 species
GACGAACGCUGGCGGCGUGCUUAACACAUGCAAGUCGAACGGAAAGGCCCUGCUUUUGUGGGGUGCUCGAGUGGCGAACGGGUGAGUAACACGUGAGUAACCUGCCCUUGACUUUGGGAUAACUUCAGGAAACUGGGGCUAAUACCGGAUCGGAGCUCCUGCUGCAUGGUGGGGGUUGGAAAGUUUCGGCGGUUGGGGAUGGACUCGCGGCUUAUCAGCUUGUUGGUGGGGUAGUGGCUUACCAAGGCUUUGACGGGUAGCCGGCCUGAGAGGGUGACCGGCGACAUUGGGACUGAGAUACGGCCCAGACGCCUACGGGAGGCAGCAGUGGGGAAUAUUGCACAAUGGGCGGAAGCCUGAUGCAGCAACGCCGCGUGCGGGAUGACGGCCUUCGGGUUGUAAACCGCUUUCGCCUGUGACGAAGCGUGAGUGACGGUAAUGGGUAAAGAAGCACCGGCUAACUACGUG